GCUCUUAAAAGGUCACCUUUAGUGGCAAAGCUCUUUACAGUUGGGUUUUGUAGAAAUGAGGCCUUCCCAUAUUCUACCGGCUUUCCGAGCUGUACCAUGACGUUCUUUAAAAUGAUUAACAGGAGGUUUGAAAGUAGUGCUAAAUUACGUUAAAACUCAACAUGAUUAAUUCAUUCGUCUAGUCAUCACUGCUCGGCUCACUAAUAUCGUUGGUA